UCCGGUUGAUCCUGCCGGAGGCCACUGCCAUGGGGGUCCGACUAAGCCAUGCGAGUCAUGGGGCGCCUUGCCCUUACCGGCGGACGGCUCAGUAACACGUCGGUAACCUACCCUCGGGAGGGGGAUAACCCCGGGAAACUGGGGCUAAUCCCCCGUAGGCCUGAGGUACUGGAAGGUCCUCAGGCCGAAAGGGUCUUUGACCGCCCGAGGAUGGGCCGGCGGCCGAUUAGGUAGUUGGUGGGGUAACGGCCCACCAAGCCGAAGAUCGGUACGGGCCAUGAGAGUGGGAGCCCGGAGAUGGACACUGAGACACGGGUCCAGGCCCUACGGGGCGCAUCAUGCGCUAAACCU
rnacentral:rRNA from 1 species